CAUAGUGCCUGCACCUAGAAAUGUAGUUCUUUCCUCUCUUGCUGUCAGAGGCAGGCAUGAGGGACUUGGAAACAUCUCAUGCUAGCUAGACUCUGGACCCUGGAAAUGUGAAGACCAGAGUACAAUUGGGAGAAAUCUGUUGUGGCUGCCUCUGCUGGUUAAGUGAGUCAGAUGUCCACCAUGGCCUCAGCUCACUUCAUUGACACAGUGAAGAAAGGGGUGAGAAAUGUACACAGACGUCUGAGUGCUACCCUUGGUCCUUGAAAACAGCUCUGGACAAGAGGAAGUCAAGACAAUAAGCUAAGACCCAGUGAGUUCUAUUGCCUGUUCUCUAUUUCAAGGGGACAGUCCCUGCUUUGUUUCUCUUCUCUCCAGUGAAACACUUCCCUGAAAUUCUCCUGGCUUCUGAGAACUGAUCUAGAAUCAGCCCACAGUGAUCAGAAGCGAGCAGAACCCAUCUUGUCCCUUGGAUCAUUCUGUCUUGAGGAUGUGGGAGUAAAAAGGGACACUAAGAAGGGUCCCUUCCUUCCUCUACGGAGUUCUCCUAGCAACUUUUCAUUUCCAUCUUCCUGCAGGCUAAGAUCUACUUACCCAUGUGGAGAGGAGAAGGGAGGGAGGGUGUGCAUGAGGGAGCUUUCCCUGUCCCAGAAGCAAGUGCUUCCCUGUGGUGUUCUGCUGGUAGGAUUUUUACCUGUCUCCCAAGGGAAGCUCUGAGCUGGCCUCAAUUUCUACUCCCUGCUGAGCUGCCUGCGCUGGAAAAUCCUGUGCCUAGAAAGAUAAGAAACCAAAGUUUUGGAGAAUAAUUUACUGGAGAGACUGAUCCAGAUUCCGAACUCAGUCCAUCUUGGUAAGUUAUUAAGUACCCAUUCUGUAGCCCUGUGGUGGGUACUGAGAGAAUGUUAUCGUUUAUUAUGAUAAGCUGCAUGUAUUUAGUCAUUUUGCUUCUUUCUAUUUCUUAUAACUUUGUUACUUCAUGCUGAAAUGAUAGCACAGGCUUCACUUCACGUGCUUUGAGCGUCACAUGCCAUCAAGGUUAGCCAGGGAUUUCAGCACUGUGCGCAUGUUCUGAGAGUCAGCAGAGAUGUAGGCAAGCCUGAACAAAGCAAAGGAAGCAGCCGAGCUCCUCCGAUGUUUCGGACUCAAGCUUGGGCAAUCAUUCACUGCUAUUUGCUCAUUCCAUUAGUGUUUACUGGGCAUCAGUUAGGUUUUACAUUCUUAGUUGGAAGCCCAAAACUAGAGGAUUUGUCUAUGCAUUUGAGAUACUCAUGCUUCGGUUAGGGAAGAAAACAAGAUAUUUCAAGUACUAUUUUUGAGAUUUUGAGACACUGAUUAAAAGUUUCUGAGAUAAUAAUUGAAUAGGACAUUAUAGGGACAUAAUCUGAAGAUGUCAGAUAAGUAGUCUCAAAUGAUAAAAAUGUACAUUCCAGAUGGAAAUGGAUAAAUCAUGUGGUAUUUUCUAAAUAUAUACUAUAUACCAGGCCUUUUAUUGAAAAUACAUGUUUAUUUUAAUCGUCACUCAAGAAUUGAAGAAGCAAAAAAAACAUAUACAGCCCUGGGAAAAGAGUCAGUGUGGAAAGAUAGGAGGCAGGAGGCUGGCAUAUUUAUCUCACACAACCAUGAAUUGAGCAAUGUAGGGGUAAGGCAAUAAGGGAGACAAGGACACAUGCACUCACGCACACAUGCAUGCACGCACGCAUGCAUGCAUGCACGCACGAAUGCACAUACACUCCCACACAUGCACACUCACACACACCACCCAAAAUCAAAACAAGACAAUAACAAAACAAUCAAUAAUGGGGCUUAGAAGAAGCAUGCUAGAUCAGAAAGAAGGUUGGGUCAGAACGUGCAAACACUGUGGACAACAAACCACGUUGGAAGAUGACCAUAAUGUUUUGGGUACAGGAAAACAAAGUCCUUUAUGCCGGGAGAGAAGAAAAGACUAGAAAGAAGUGGUUAAAGGAGCUGGCUGUCCUGGCAAUGAGAGAGAAAUGGAUGAAGACGGUGCAGUUUUGGUUCUCCCAAGCCAGGAACUGCAGAACAAGGGAACAGAGCAGGGAGGACAUGGAACCUGGGUCUCCACGUAACUCAAGAAGGGUUACCAAAAGUUUCAAGUGUCUAGCAUUUCUAUACACCCCAGUGAUAAAUAAAGGAAGGGAACCAUCCAUGGACUGGAGGGGCAAGGACUGUAGUAAGAAGUAAGUUUUAUAGCCUGCAUGGUAGAUGAAGGGAGCCAGAUCUGAAGAGAUGAUGAAGGUAGCUUUCUGGCUCUGAGCCUCAGUGGUAGAAAAGUCCAGGUGUGGAGCGAGUCCUUGGCAGACAUUCCAGCUGCAGCUCAGGUAAACAGAGCCUGCAGGCAUUCCCAGGAAGAGGCAGCUGUGUCCCGAAGGGCUUUUCUCCGACAGGCCUGGAAGCUGCUACGUGAUCGGGCUUGAGGCGGGCAGCAGCUGGGGUUUGGGAGGACACAGGCACGUGGAUAGCCUCCUGUGGGUACACUGCUGCAGAUGAGACAGCCCUGAGAACCAGUUUGUCUUCCUGGCUUCCUCCUCCACCCUUCGCUACAGAGGCUCAGUGCCACAGCCCGAAACAGCUGCAGAAAGAUUGAUUCAGAGAUGAGGGCUACAGCUUUGAGCCGUGCAGAGGCAGCAGAAAAGGCAAUCUGUGUGCCUCUUUGAAGGACGCUGUUUGUUUAAGGAUCCAAACGUCAAACAACUUCAGUAGCAGACAACAGUGAUUUGGCUAGAACAAUGUAUGCCCCUGAAUUAACAUCAAGAUGGGCUGAACAGAGCAAACUAGAGACUCCUUUUUUUCAAAGUUCAGUAUCUUCCUCUAUGGUCUCAAUUACAGGAGAUCCAUUUGUGCACAAAACAUUUAGGCAAUAAUAUCUGGGUGUCUUUUGGAGUCUACUGUAACCAAAGAGAAAGAAAGGCCGGAACAAAAUGCAAAGGGCAAAAAGAAACUGUUUGGAGACAGUCGGCUACAGUGUAAACUUUUCGUUCUCUCUCAUAGCAAAACCUGAUGGCUGUCUUUGAAAAAAAAAAAAAAAAGUGUCUGUAUCUAGGUCCCUGGCAGUGAUUUGCCUCUGGGAGGGCCAGCAAUCUAUUUAAUGACUCCAUUGACGUCAAUGGCAUAACUGAAAUACUUACUAACAUGCAUGAUUCCAGCUUUCAGGGGGAGGGGGUGGACAGUGUCUCUCAGCAGCGCGAAAACACGAUGUGGAGUCUGUGAGGAACGGACUUGGCUCUUUCUGCAAAUGCUAAGGGACUAGAUGCUGCUGGUCCCCCAGGUCCUGAUUAAUAUGAGGAAAAAAAACUUUUCCUGCUAAAUGAAGAAAUUAAUUCUGAACAAGGGAACGUGGCCACUAAUAAGCAAGACCUUAUUUUUAGCUGUGUUUGCUCAAGGGAACAGUUUUUACCAUUCUCACUUUAGCUGCCUUACUAAUGAUUUUGCAGUUAGCCAUCCUUAAAUUUAGACAUAUAUGAAAUCAUUGCAAAUCAUUGCAGGCAGUUCAGCGUCCAUGUUCUGGGGUAAAUGUUUAUAGGAUGGCUAUUUUAGACAAAACAGGCUCUUUCAAACCAUUUGGGGCACUAUCUUGAGAAUUUCCCAGCUUUUCUGGUAUAGUUCUAUUUUAUGACUUCUAUUUGUAUAUAAAGGCUCUUUAUAUAUGGGUGUAACUGAGCCGAUUGUCCCAGAAUUCCAGGUUACACACAUCAUACCGAACACUGAAGAAAAUGUCUGCUAUUUUUAUUUUUCCCCUUUUCUUUUUUGUAAUUUCCUUCGGGACCUCCUUUGUCCUGAGUGGCCAGGGUCUUUGAUAAGAUGGUUGAUCUUAUUUCUGUUUGCCCGUGUGUUGUAAUCCUGCCUGACUGUUCUUGCUUAAUGCAGAAACGAAGUAAAGGUUCAGCUUGUGCUGGCCUCCCUCUCCAGUCAUCUGCCACGGAUCAGUUUUCAAGCCUGAGCCAUGGUCCUCAGAGAGACCUCUGCCCAUAUACAGCCGUCCCGCUCACAUCCCAGGCCUGGCAGUUCUAGCAAAGCCUUGACUUUUCUGAGCUGUUCAGGGUCAGAGACCAUGUACUGAGCCCCUGUUCUAUUUCUUGAGCAAAAUGUGCAUCUGGCACAUCUACUUGAAUCUCAGAAAUAGUCAAAGCUAAGUGAAGAUGAGUGAGGAGUCAUGUGGAGAAACAGGCUUCCUGAAAGGAGGUCUCUUCUACUCUUCAUCAGUUGUAUCAUCAUUCCUUCCAGAGUGGCCCUGAAGUGAUGCUAGAAGACAUGGCCUCCCUGGAGCUUGGGAAAAACCUUAAUUAAGGCUGCUGUUGAGAUAGGUCAGCACAUUUUGUGCUUUACUGGAAGACUUCUGCUUCCUCAUCCUAUUUCUCCAAAUACAUUCUUUCCUUGAAAUAUAUUUUAAUUGACUCAUGUUGGAAAUCACUACAGUUAAUGCUACAGACACCCAAGCUGUAGUCUGCGGUAGUCUGGCUUGGAGAUCUCCGGGCAGCUCUUCAGAUAUCUCAUCGACAUGGUUGGCUGCCAUUUUGGAUGAUCCAUGAACUUCUGGGUUACUUUAAAAACAGCUCUAUUACAAGUGGUGAUAGUCAUGAUUUGCACCAAUGGCUCUUAGUAAAUUUUAGAUGAAAUAGUAUGAUAGAAUACCCUACUCCACACGUUAUUCUGGCUGCCACAAAAUUCUAUACUUGAUGUAUAUAUUGUUGUAAAUUAAGUCAUUUAUGAGACUCAGAGGUGAGAGUUUCUAAAAAAAAAUAUGUUUCUAAUCUUUUUGUGUAGGAAAAAAAAUUCCUUCUGCAAACGCAGUGAUCACCUAGCGAUUUAUUUUCUUAGUAGGUUCUCUCAUGACAUAGUCAAAAAAAGCGUAAAUGAGAUAUAUGCCCGAGCACAGGAAUAAGGGUAUGGGGAAAGCCUGGCAGUGGUUACAUAACCGCACAUAUGUAUACAAGUUGAUUUGUUUCAAUUAUUUGAUUUGGUUUUUCCUUUGGGAAAUCUUGAGUUUUCAGUCUUCCAUGUUGAAUAUGUCCAGGUGAAAGAAUUCAAGUUCCUGCCUUGUUUUAGACUUAAUUUUCUUUUUAUUAUAUUAUUUUCCUUUCUUUUUCACUCCUACACAGAAAAUAAAACCCCAAGACUUUACUAAUUCAAAAGAAAGUGAUGCUGGUCUCCAAGUGGAGCGGCUCAUAACCUAGGAUUUUUACUGCCCUCACGAGGCUUCACUGUGACCUCCCAAAUCUUCGCACUCAGGCUUUGGAGCUGCUCUCUGCCCAUUUAGUCCUCCAUCUUUGAAUGGUGGCUUCCCUACUUUGUCAGCAAAAUGUCACCUUCUUAGGUUUCAUCCUUUCUUAUUCAAAACUGCAUGAACACAUUGGCAUACGUAAGGCCCCAACACCUUCUAAUUUCAGUAGAGUAAGUGAUAAAAACUCUGAAGAAAGAAACAGAAGCGCAGAAGUAAACACUUCCUUCAGACGCAGAAACUGGCUUAUUAUUAUAUUUUAUCUUUAUGAGCACAUUCUUUCAAAUACAGUCCAACCUUUACGUAGUCCUGGCCAGUUUGGCAUUGACUCUGUUCCGGCCGUGUAGACAUAAUUUACCAUACUAUAAAGACAAAGAGAUGAGAAAGAUGUGGUCUCACCCCCAGGAACCCAGGAUCCAGUGGGACAGACACACCACUGGGGAACCAUUGUGUACCCCAGAAUUAAGUUCUCGACAAAAUAGGAACAAUCAUGCUAAAAACACAAGUUGUCAUUUCAAAGACAAGACUUUCCUAUUGCUCCCCAAAAGCUGAGAAUCUGGUCCAGCAGAGAGAAGAGCUGACUCUGAUUGAGAGAUUUCAUCACCCAGUGACUCGAGGUAAGUUUAGAAACUUCAACCAGAUUGGAAGAAUUCAUUGGAAUUGAAGAAUCACAUUUCAUUUACAUGAAUGAAGAA